CCACAUCCAUGACCCCACACGCCACAGGCAGCACAGGGCUCUCCAUGGGCAGCUUCCCAUUGGGGAUGCUGCUGUUUCUCUGCGGAGCAAACGUGAAGCUGCUCACACCCCGACACAGCCACACCCAGCCCUGACUGCCCCCGCUCCAGGCCCCAGCCCCGCCAAGCCUCCUGGUGACCCAGCCUUACCCGCUUCUGGGCACGCUCCCGCUUGUACAGCUUGGCCGCCUUCUUGUUCUGGUUGAGCCCCAGCUUGGUCGACUUGAAGGACUCCAGGCGCUUCCGCAUGGUCCUGUGGAAGAUUUCCCGGUCCUGUUUCUCGUCCUCCGUGGGCGUGAGCUCGUGUCGGCUGUACAGAUGCUUGUACUGCGGGAUCAGGCACGGAGGUCACAGCUGUGCCCACCGCCGGACAUUCUCGCCCUCCUGCCGCAGGAGCUGAGCACGGAUCCCCCGUGGUCCCAGGAGGGGACGAGGAAGC
rnacentral:lncRNA from 10 species